AUUGAUUGUUAUGUUUGAAGCCAAAUGUUGCAUUAAUUCAAAAGAAACAAUAAAUGUUGCGUGAAAGUUAUGAACAAAUGCAAGUGAAGAAACGAAGCAAUGAGAGAGCCAAUAGUUGACAAAGCUUCAAUAAAACGGGUCCAAACCUUCAAAGCGUUCUUGAUCAAAUUUAAACUCCGCGUCUCCACAUCUCUUCAGCACACUUUGAAAGAGCUCUCUCCAAUAUUCAAGUUGAUUGUUAGACGAUCUUUGAGUAGUCCUUGAGAUUUGUUGAAGAAAUAUGCAUCCGAUCUUCUUGGACUUGAUCUUUGAACUUCAUGACGUUGACGUGGAGGGUCUUCGCUUUGUUCGAAUGUUGGAUCUGACUUGAAUUUGGACUUUAUAAUGUUGAUGCAAAGGGAACGUUGAUGCAGACCUUCGCCUUGCUUCCAAAGUAUACACCAACAUGGAGGACUUCUGCCUUGAUUCCAACGUAUAUGUCAAUGUGGAGGGCUUCGCCUUGCUUCCAAAGUAUGCAUCAAUGUGGAGGGCUUCGCCUUGCUUCCAAAGUAUGCAUCAAUGUGGAGGGCUUCACCUUGCUUCAAAAGUAUGCAUCAAUGUGGAGGGCUUCACCUUGCUUCAAAAGUAUGCAUCAAUGUGGAGGGCUUCGCCUUACUUCAAAAGUAUACGCCGAACUUCGAGCUUUAUGACGCUUAGUAGUGGAGUGGAAGCACGCGCUCGCCAAAGUAAUAACUCCAUUGGAACUAGACUCGAGCAAUCCUAGGUCGGAGCAUACCCAAGAUCUAUUAAAUAAUUGAGUCAUCUAGUCCACAUAGAAUCACGCCAAGAGAAGAUGUAACAAGCGAUCUUUAAAGGUCGAACUCGCAAUGGCCCAGAUCCGAGCGCACCCAAAAUCUGAAUAAAAGCCAAUUGAGCCGCCUAAAGUGCAAGUUAAACAUCACCCAAAUCAUAUUGGAGUUGACAAGAUAGCCCACGCAGAAGCAAAAUAUCCAUGCUUCCAAGAAGAAAAUUGUAUCCAAGCAAAACUCCUUGAUUGAAAUGGCCUCGAUCAAGAGUUGAAGUUGCAGAAGCACGCAAGGAGAAGAUGUGACUAGCGAUCUUUAAAGGUCGAACUCGCAAUGGCCCAGAUCUGAGUGCACCCAGAAUCUGAAUAAAAGCCAAUUGAGCCGCCUAAAGUGCAAGUUAAACAUCACCUGAACCAUGUUGGAGUAGACGAGAUAGCCCACGCAAAAGCAAAAUAUCCACGCUUCCAAGAAUGAACUCGAAUUUGUAUAAGCAAAAUCCGUCGAUUGAACACACUCGAUCAAUUUGUAUCAGCAAAAUUUGUCGGUUGAAUGCAGUUGAUCAAUUUGUAUCAGAAAAAUUCCUCGGUGGAAUAACACUUGAUCAAGAAUUGAGGUAAGAGUCGAAGUUGGGGCAGCAUGGAAAUCCCGCGUAAGUGAAAUCAAGUAUACCAAAGAAGGCAAAUGGCGGAUGAUGAUAACAAGCAAAGAGGCACGAAGGAGCUGCAAAAAAAAAAAAAAAAAAAGAGAUUGAAGUUCACGACAUAGCUGAAACAAUAGCAUGGUGCUACCAAAAUUUAACUUAAUAUCUCUGCUCCACCAAGCUCAAUGUCUCUAAUAAAAAGGGGGGCCCAAUUCUCCAUCUCUAAAACCCAAAAGCAAGAAUUCAGUUCAUUAAAAAAAGACAUUGAUUCACAUCUAGAAGAACUUCUCCGUCCAACAGCCUCUCCAAUCCCUCGAUGAAUAAAAUGGUUGCCUUUAAAAAUGGUGAGGAGAACACCGUCAUCGGUCUGGAAGUCACCGCGCUCAAACAACCACCGCCGCUUUGCUCUGCUUCAUGUUGGAUUUGGCAACUGAAGGACGCCGACCUCCUUGUUCUUGUCGACGAGAAUCACUAGCUCAAAGGCUACAACAACCUGGAGAAGAACGCCUCUGAAGGUCGUCCCAUUUCCAAACAAGAAAUUGCCUCUUCCAUUCGCCCGCCGCAGCCGCCGCACUCUCCACUUCUCUCCAUCUUCGACAUGGUCGACGCAGCUUCUUCUUAUUCUCCGGAGUUACAGCUGCCAGCACCUCUCGCCGCCAGAGGCUGGUCUUUGAGAGAUACAGACCGAAGUCAACAACUCAGAGCUUCUCCAUAUGGACCUGUGACGGCUCGGCAAACCACCGUCUUCUGGCGCGCCUUUCUCCAUCUUCUCACAGAAUUCCCGGCAGCUGCAAUUGAUGCUCAAACGCUCACAAGUCCCCUAACUCAGGAGAUCAGCGAGAAUAUGGUGAAGAAGGUCCCUCUAACUCAGGAGAUCAACGGGAACAUAUCCAAGGUCACCUUCAUGUAUUCCGGUCUCUCCUCCAAUUGCUCCACCAUCCGCGACUCGAUCAUUUCUAGUACCCUC